rnacentral:rRNA from 1 species
GAUGAACGCUGGCGGCAGGCUUAACACAUGCAAGUCGAGCGCCCCGCAAGGGGAGCGGCAGACGGGUGAGUAACGCGUGGGAAUCUACCUUUUGCUACGGAAUAACUCAGGGAAACUUGUGCUAAUACCGUAUGUGCCCUUCGGGGGAAAGAUUUAUCGGCAAAGGAUGAGCCCGCGUUGGAUUAGCUAGUUGGUGGGGUAAAGGCCUACCAAGGCGACGAUCCAUAGCUGGUCUGAGAGGAUGAUCAGCCACAUUGGGACUGAGACACGGCCAAAACUCCAGCGGGAGGCAGCAGUGGGGAAUAUUGGACAAUGGGCGAAAGCCUGAUCCAGCCAUGCCGCGUGAGUGAUGAAGGCCUUAGGGUUGUAAAGCUCUUUCCCCGGUGAAGAUAAUGACGGUAACCGGAGAAGAAGCCCCGGCUAACUUCGUGCCAGCCGCCGCCGUAA